AGGGGGCCCCGCCGUGGACUCGAGACGGUGGCCCGGGCAGCGGCCCCGGGAACUGGAGCUCUUGGCAGAGGGCAAAAGGGGCGCCGGGGAGCGAAGGCCCUUUCUGGGGCCCCAGGACGAUCUGGAGCCCUGAAGAGGCCCCGGGAGAUGGUGUGGCCCUCCAGUCCCGAAGCCCCCUCCCCCCGGCCGGCCUGGGACAUUGCAGGGUGCGCGCCGCCGCCGCCGAGGACCCACCCCCUCGGUUCAGCGGCAACUCUUUCCGUCCUCGCACCGAGCGGGGUGGCCAGCGGCUCCGGGGGCGGGAGUCGGUCCCACUGCAAACUUCAGGAGUGGGAGGGAGAGGAAGGCAGGCUCGAGCCGGCGCUCCCGCCGCCACCUUCCCGCGCUCCCGCGCUGCAGCACUCACCGCGUCCGCCCCGCGCGCUUCGAUCGCAGACUUCUUAGAAGUUAGCUCCGACGUCGCUCACAACCAUCCCCUUGUAAGCAUGAGGCUUUCCAUUGUGCAGAUGCAGAAACUGAGGUCGGAUACCUUCAGCGGCUUGCCCGAGGUCGGCAGUGGGGCGGGGCCAGGACUCCAACCCCAGCCCGGCCUGCCAAUCUGAGUCGAAUUCCGAAGCCUGGGACCCACACGCCGUAGGGGCGGGGCAAAAAAAAGCACGAGCUCCGCCCCCUCCGUGUUCUUAUUCCCAGAUUUUGUGUCGCUCUCCACUUUGAAGUCCCUUCGCCCCUUCACCGCCUUUGUCGGUCACCAGCUUGGGUGGAUUUUUCCAGAUCCCCACGAUGCCACCCCACCCUGAAUAAAUCCCUUCUUUCUCGCC